AAUGUAUGUGUAUAUAAUUAGAGGAAUAAAAAUAACUACUACAUAGAAAGCAUGAAACAACUCGGCAAAGCAUGAAAUAGAACUGUUAAACCUUUUCAAAACACCCAAUCUUCCAUUUUCAGUCUUCCACACCUUCCCCCUUCAAACCUCCCUCACCCAAUCUUUUGCUCCGUCAAAUUGCCGUCAUUGACUCCGAUCACCGGCAGCAGAGAUGAGCGGACACGAUUCAAAGUAUUUCUCCACCACUAAAAAGGUGAAAUCCUUCAGCUUAAAGAAGAACUCAUUUCACAGUAAAAGAUUCAUCUAAGAGUUCCAUUCUUGACCGGGAAAAACGCCGCCACACGCCGCCACAUCAUCUGGAUGUUGCGAGUGGGCUACAUUACCUUCAUAAAGGAAGCCAACUCUGUCUCGUGAUCCCGGAUCCUCCUAAAGAGUAUGGUGUUCUUGAUCUGAUAUAAGCAUGCAAUACGGAGAGUAGUGAGUGGGGAAAGGCUUGGUCAGUUCAUGGAGUGAUGAAUGAAAAAUAUUAUCAGACUUCUACUCCCACUUAUACUGAAACCAUGGUGGGUCGAAUCCCCUACAAUCAAUUUAAUCUUAUAGGGAACGACCAUACACCCACACAAUAGAUAGAUUUCCGGAAGUAUGGGACCAAGAAGGUACUCCGUAUUGUGUGGCAUACGCGGCUGCCCACUUUAUGACAAUGAUUUACCGAAUAUGAGACCCAAAGAAUUAUCGAUCUUUGAUUAUGUCCCUACAACAGUUGAUCAACGAACGUUGUUACUAUAUUUCAAACCUUCCAGACUAUUUAACGAGUUCUAAAGGACUCUAUAACAUGCGACAUCAGCAAUGGUUACGCAUGCAUCAGCAACAUCCAGACCUACCAUCAGAUUGGAGAAAACAUGGGCUUCAAAGUUUGACCAUUAUUGAAGACCGAAGAGAAAUAAGGCAAGCUUUAAUAAGAAGUUUUGCUCCUGAUGGGCCAAAAUAUCCUAUUAUAGCGGGUUGUCGGUUGAAUAAUGUCAUGGAAGUCCGUGUAGAGCAAUAUGCAACUGCUGAAGAUCCUUUUGUGAUCCCAGAACCUUAGCAAAUCAGUUCUCAUGCUGUUGUAAUUACAGAGAUUUUUCUCGGGCGGGAUAACAACCGACUUAGUGUUCGGUUUAAAAAUUCAUAUGGAGUAAGGUGGGGAGUUAGGGGGCACGCAUGGGUAACUGAUGCCUUUUUCAAGAAGAUUAGAGUACUAGAGAUGCUGAAAUAGGUAAUUUUGACACCUCUAACGGGUAGUGUAAUGCUUAAUAUAAUUAGGGGUGGUUACUUGACCCCUCUGGCGAACCAUUUUUUUAUAAAGUAUCCGAUAGAGAUUUUAGAAAACAUGGGCUAUUAAGUUUGACCAUUAUUGAAGACCGAAGAGAAAUAAGGCAAGCUUUAAUAAGAAAUUUUGCUCCUGAUGGACCAAAAUAUCCUAUUAUAGCGGGUUGUCGCUUAAAUAAUGUCAUUGAAGACCGUGUAGAGCAAUAUGCAACUGCUGAAGAUCCCUUUGUGAUCCUAGAACCUCAGCAAAUAAGUUCUCAUGUUGUUGUAGUUACAGGGAUUUUUCUCGGACGGGAUAACAACUGACUUAGUGUUCGGUUUAAAAAUUCAUAUGGAGUAAGGUGGGGAGUUAGGGGGCAAACAUGGGUAACUGAUACAUUUUUCAAGAAAAUUGGAGUACGAGAGAUGCCAGAAUAGGUAAUUUUGACACAUCCGGGGAUAGUGUAAUGCUUAAUAUAGUUAGGGGUGGGUUAAUUGACCCCUCCGGCGAACCAUUUUUUAUAAAGUAUCCGGCGGAGAUUUGUUUUCAAGUUAACCCUUUAAAUGUAUUAUUGUAGAGCGAACAUUAAAAGAAAAUAGAAAAGAGAGGAUAGUGAAGAAAGAUCUGAGUUCAAACUCCUUCUGGUGACCUGGUUAUUUUCUUUAGAGAAGGAGGUUGAAGAAAAAGUCAAAAAAAGGUGUUGUACUAGAAGAAAAACAGUAAUCUAUGAUUGUUCUCAUUUACUUUUUA